UUAAGGUUAUCAUGGGUAUUUUAAGUAGUUUUAUAAGUCUAGAACCCUUAACCAAGUUCAUUAUUCAAAAUCAAAACCCAAACUCAAAGAAAAACUCUCUAGAACACCAUUGAAGCUUAAAGGGAGCUUGGAGCUUGGAGCUUGAUUCCUCCAUCAAUUUUCUCUCAAUUUCGUUGUUUAGCAUCAAUUAAGGUGUAAGUGGCAUUUGAGAGAAGUCUUGAAGUGAAGUUUGGACAUUAACAUUCCAUUCAAGCAAAUGUUGGUAUGUCCUCACUAGAUUCGAGGACAUCACUAUGUUUUAGUUUUCUUGAUUGAAAGUAUUGCAAUAGACUUAGAUAUUUGUAUAUGUUGAUGUAUGAGUCGUAUCCCAAGAUAUUCGUCUGUCUUAGAUGACGACUUUGAGACUUAGCCUUUCCUUAUGAUUUUCUAUAAAAGAGAUAUUUUGAAGUAUUACUAUUUCGUGUGAAA